rnacentral:SRP_RNA from 1 species
CUGGGCUCCUCGCAACACCAUAUUGUGAAUCCCGUCAGGCCCGAGAGGGAGCAGCGGCAGCAGUUGACGUGUGUGCCGGGGU